rnacentral:rRNA from 1 species
AGUGAACGCUGGCGGCGUGCCUAAUACAUGCAAGUCGAACGGAGAGGCGCACGGGAGAGUAAUGUAUAGCUAAUCUGACCUACACUAGAGGACACCAGUAGGAAACGACUGCUAAUACUAUACAGAGUAGGAAGAGGCUAUAUUGUAUCAGCUAGUUGGUGAGGUAAUGGCUCACGAAGGCUAUGACGCAUCACUGGUCUGAUGUGAUGAUCAGUCACACUGGAACUGAGACACGGUCCGGACUCCUUCGUGAGUCAGCAGUAGGGAAUAUUGCUCAAUGGGGGUAACCCUGAAACAGCAUCGCCGUGUGGAGGAUGACACUUGGCGGAGCUUAAACUCCUUUUGUUAGGGAAGCGGUACCUAACGAAUAAGCACCGGCUAACUCCGUGCCAGCAGCCGCGGUAAUAC